GGAAUAUUGGACAAUGGGGGCAACCCUGAUCCAGCAAUGCCGCGUGUGUGAAGAAGGUCUUCGGAUUGUAAAGCACUUUCGACGGGGACGAUGAUGACGGUACCCGUAGAAGAAGCCCCGGCUAACUUCGUGCCAGCAGCCGCGGUAAUACGAAGGGGGCUAGCGUUGCUCGGAAUGACUGGGCGUAAAGGGCGUGUAGGCGGUUUGCACAGUCAGAUGUGAAAUCCCCGGGCUUAACCUGGGAGCUGCAUUUGAUACGUGUAGACUAGAGUGUGAGAGAGGGUUGUGGAAUUCCCAGUGUAGAGGUGAAAUUCGUAGAUAUUGGGAAGAACACCGGUGGCGAAGGCGGCAACCUGGCUCAUGACUGACGCUGAGGCGCGAAAGCGUGGGGAGCAAACAGGAUUAGAUACCCUGGUAGUCCACGCUGUAAACGAUGUGUGCUAGAUGUUGGGUAACUUUGUUAUUCAGUGUCGCAGUUAACGCGUUAAGCACACCGCCUGGGGAGUACGGCCGCAAGG
rnacentral:rRNA from 1 species